UACGUAGGGACCGAGCGUUGUCCGGAUUCAUUGGGCGUAAAGAGCACGCAGGCGGUUUGGCAAGUCGGAUGUGAAAACCCGGAGCUCAACUCCGGGCGUGCAUCCGAUACUGCCCGACUAGAGGUAGGUAGGGGAGAUCGGAAUUCCUGGUGUAGCGGUGAAAUGCGCAGAUAUCAGGAGGAACACCGGUGGCGAAGGCGGAUCUCUGGGCCUUACCUGACGCUCAGGUGCGAAAGCUAGGGGAGCAAACAGG
rnacentral:rRNA from 1 species